UGGGGAAUAUUGGACAAUGGGCGAAAGCCUGAUCCAGCCAUGCCGCGUGUGUGAAGAAGGUCUUCGGAUUGUAAAGCACUUUAAGUUGGGAGGAAGGGCAGUAAGCGAAUACCUUGCUGUUUUGACGUUACCGACAGAAUAAGCACCGGCUAACUCUGUGCCAGCAGCCGCGGUAAUACAGAGGGUGCAAGCGUUAAUCGGAAUUACUGGGCGUAAAGCGCGCGUAGGUGGUUCGUUAAGUUGAAUGUGAAAGCCCCGGGCUCAACCUGAGAACUGCAUCCAAAACUGGCGAGCUGGAGUAGGGCAGAGGGUAGUGGAAUUUCCUGUGUAGCGGUGAAAUGCGUAGAUAUAGGAAGGAGCACCAGUGGCGAAGGCGACCACCUGGGCUCAUACUGACACUGAGGUGCGAAAGCGUGGGGAGCAAACAGG
rnacentral:rRNA from 1 species